CUGCAUUCACCUCAUUUCACAAUCUUCUUAUUGUAGGGAAGUGUGAAUUAAUCCUGUCAGCGCAAAUUUGGUGACUGAUCUACGACACCCAAAUUACUCAGUGAGUUCAAGCCUGAAAAGUUCAAAAAGACGCACAACCACUUCUAAGGAUCCAGGGGGAGGGCGGAAGGCUGGACCAUACUCCAAAUGCAGGUUUUCCUCCAUCCACUUCAGUAUUUUAUCUCUGAGAACUGCUGUUUCUCUAAAUUAUUCCUGAGACACUAUGCGGCACCUGGUCAGUGUGUGACAUCAAGAUUUGGGUUAUUCAUAAAGCCCCAGAAGAUCCUCAUGCAAGAGAACCUCAAGACCAGGAUAAGCAAUUCCUAUCACCUGUGUUUUUCUCUCUGUUGCAUGGUACAGUAUUGUGAGCAGUGAUUUGAUGGUUAUUGCAGUUAAAAAAGAUCCAGACUCUAGCGAGGAACUCACUCAUGUUGGUGGCCUGUAGACAGGCACCAAGUAGGCUAAAGGCACCCAAACACCGUAUUAUUUUUGUCUCUUUGUGUUCUCUGUCUGCACUGCAUCUGUCUCUCUACAGGGUGUGUAUUUGUGAGUAUGGGUGUAGCUGAAUCAACAAAGUGGUAGUGGUACGGGCUUUAUGGGAUGACAGGUCUCGUAGGGAGGGCUGAGCAGUUUGGAAAGUAGCAUGCUGCUCAUUAUAAGCAGUUAGUGGUAAUGAAAAGGCUCUGAUGUGUUGUUAGUGUAGUUCCAGUUUUUUGUUGCAUUUUUGCUGUGAAUGUGUUAAGCUCUCGCAGAGGGUAGGAUCUUUUCAGCUGCAAUGGAUGCUAUUGAUUUGCGCGAUCAACAUAUUUGAGCAAAUUUGUCACUGCUCAAAUAAAAUGUAUUGCACUAAGAACCUGACUCAACAGACUUAUUUCAGUGAUGGACGUUUGAACUGAGCUGAGGGAAAGUUUCAUUGGUUUGAAAGAGGACCUUGUACCUCAAAGAGAACACCAUUAGUCAAAGUAAUGGGUCAGUAAGUGUUUGGACUCGCACACACUGAAUUUGGUUUGGAUGAAAAUAAUUAUUCAAGGAUCAAGCCAUAUAAGUUAGAUUUAUGAUAGUAUUGCUUAAGCUUGCUAACACGCAAAUAAAAUGAGACCUUGUCUCUGAUGAGUGGCUCUUGAGCAAGACCCUUAACCCCCAAAUGCUCUAGCAAUGCUGCUCUAACAAAUCAAAUUAUGGUUGUUACGUGCGGUUUACAUGUGUGUGAACUGUGACCAGGGAAUUCCUAAAAAGGGGGGAUUGCUCUUAGAGGAACAACCCUGAUCAGAUUAAGGUUGAAUAACAUAUUUCAAAUGUGUUCAAUUACAUAAUGUUAACUGAAGUUUUGUGAUUUUUAUUUGAAGGACAUUGUUGACUUGCCUGUACUGUCAUACGGCUUACAUGUUUAAUUAAGUAUGUAACAACCGCUCUCUUCUACAUUCAGCCAGUUAGUGCUUCAAACACUCAUGAAACACAAUUGUUGAAACUAUUUGCUGGUUCUGUUCUUGUAAAUUAUUAAUUAAAUUUGGUUGAAACAUCA